rnacentral:rRNA from 1 species
UACGUAGGGGGCGAGCGUUGUCCGAAUUUACUGGGCGUAAAGCGCGCGUAGGCGGAUUUUUAAGUUGGGGGUGAAAUCCCGGGGCUCAACCCCGGAACUGCCCCCAAAACUGGAAGUCUUGAGGUAUGGAGAGGGAAGUGGAAUUCCUGGUGUAGCGGUGAAAUGCGUAGAUAUCAGGAGGAACACCCGUGGCGAAGGCGGCUUCCUGGCCAUAUCCUGACGCUGAGGUGCGAAAGCUAGGGGAGCGAACGGG